rnacentral:rRNA from 1 species
AUGAAGAACGUAGCGAAAUGCGAUACUUGGUGUGAAUUGCAGAAUCCCGUGAACCAUCGAGUUUUUGAACGCAAGUUGCGCCCGAAGCCAUUAGGCUAAGGGCACGUCUGCCUGGGCGUCACGC